CUUACAUUAGUUAGCAACUUGUUUCUAUGUAAAUACUUAUUUUCUGUAUAAUAAAAGAUAUAAUUUCAUCAAGUAGCGUCCUGAUUUCCUAAGCUAAAGAUGUUGUGAAAUCUGAUGCAUGUACAGAAACGGAACCACGUUUUACAGAUAUUGGGGAAACAUUGAGAACAUGAACCACUUAAGGAAAUGUGUGCAUAUAAAUUUCAAAAGAAUCCUUAAAAAUCCAGGACCUUUCCUGACAAUAGCAUUCCUUAGUGAGGUGGUGAGAACAGC